rnacentral:sRNA from 1 species
UCAGUGUAGGGGGACGCCUUAAAAACUUUGAACUGCAAGGACUAGACGAGAACAAUUCUACUCAGUUCAGCUACAGAGAUAGCAACACAUCGCCUUUGUACAAUUACACUGUUGUGAUAGCUGGGAAGAGGAUGAAUAAAAUACUAGUGUAUGCUUCCUCUGCUGACACGUACUAUGGCAAUAUAAGACAGAUACCAGUUCUUACGAUACGUGAGCUAGAAAUAUAUGGAGAAUGUCUACCUGGUACCUGGGGACUCUACUGCAACAAGUCGUGUCCUUCCUAUUGUCAAGUCACUUGUUCACAGGAAGAUGGCUCUUGUAACCCAACCACCGAAGGUGAGAUAGAAAGCUCAGAUAGGUAUAGAACAAAUAAAUAUGAAAAAAAAAA